rnacentral:rRNA from 1 species
CCCUUAGAUGCUCUGGGCCGCACGCGCGCUACACUGGUCGAUGCAACGAGUUUCUUUCCUUGGCCGACAGGCCUGGGCAAUCCUUGAACAUCGAUCGUGAUCGGGAUAGAUUCUUGUAAUUUUUGAUCUUAAACGAGGAAUUCCUAGUAAACGCAAGUCAUCAGCUUGCAUUGAUUACGUCCCUGCCCUUUGUACACACCGCCCGUCGCACCUACCGAUUGAAUGGUCCGGUGAAAUCUCCGGACUGGCGUGAGUCGGAGCAAUCUGACAAACACCGGAAAGUUGAUUAAACCUUACCAUUUAGAGGAAGGUGAAGUCGUAACA